AUGAAAAUAAUUGGGUUUGCAGCCCGUAAAUGUUGUGAAGCAAAUAACUGUAUAACUGGGAGUUCCUUGGUGGAUAGCUUUGUACUAGUAGAUCACAUGGAUGGCUUUUGGUUCCCAUUGUUUGCCACUCCAGGGGAGCCUAGAUUUACGGAUGAGAACCAAGCAAGUAUAGUUGGUGUGGAUGAUGGGAGUAGAACCAAGCAAGCUAGGAUACAUAUUAGGAUACUGUCAAAAUCAUCCUUUUUUUGCCCAUUCAUUCAGGUAAAAGGUAGUAUUACUACAUAUAAAUGCAAACACUAG
rnacentral:rRNA from 1 species